AACGAACGCUGGCGGCAUGCCUAACACAUGCAAGUCGAACGAAGCCUUCGGGCUUAGUGGCGCACGGGUGCGUAACGCGUGGGAAUCUGCCCUUGGGUUCGGAAUAACAGUAGAAAUGACUGCUAAUACCGGAUGAUGUCUUCGGACCAAAGAUUUAUCGCCCAAGGAUGAGCCCGCGUAGGAUUAGGUAGUUGGUGGGGUAAUGGCCCACCAAGCCGACGAUCCUUAGCUGGUCUGAGAGGAUGAUCAGCCACACUGGGACUGAGACACGGCCCAGACUCCUACGGGAGGCAGCAGUGGGGAAUAUUGGACAAUGGGCGAAAGCCUGAUCCAGCAAUGCAGCGUGAGUGAUGAAGGCCUUAGGGUCGUAAAGCUCUUUUACCAGGGAUGAUAAUGACAGUACCUGGAGAAUAAGCUCCGGCUAACUCCGUGCCAGCCGCCGCCGUAACAC
rnacentral:rRNA from 1 species